rnacentral:rRNA from 1 species
GACGAACGCUGGCGGCGUGCCUAACACAUGCAAGUCAAGGGUGUAGCAAUACACACUGGCGAACGGGUGAGUAACGCGUAGGUAACCUGCCCUUAUCCCCGACACAACUCAGAGAAAUUUGAGCUAAUAUCGGAUGAGGCAUUUCGAUGUCAAAGGAGCGAUCUGGAUAAGGAGGGGCCUGCGUCUGAUUAGCUAGUUGGUAGGGUAAAAGCCUACCAAGGCGACGAUCAGUAGCUGGUCUGAGAGGAUGAUCAGCCACACUGGAACUGAGACACGGACCAGACUCCUACGGGAGGCAGCAGUGAGGAAUAUUGGUCAAUGGACGCAAGUCUGAACCAGCCAUGCCGCGUGCAGGAUGACGGCCCUAUGGUUGUAAACUGCUUUUCCACGGAGAACCUCCGACGUGUCGGAGACUGACGGUACCGUGGGAAUAAGCAUCGGCUAACUCCGUGCCAGCAGCCGCGGUAAUCUGU